rnacentral:rRNA from 1 species
UAUACAACUUUCAGCAACGGAUCUCUUGGCUCUCGCAUCGAUGAAGAACGCAGCGAAAUGCGAUAAGUAAUGUGAAUUGCAGAAUUCAGUGAAUCAUCGAAUCUUUGAACGCACCUUGCGCUCCUUGGUACUCCGAGGAGCAUGCCUGUUUGAGUGUCAUUAAAUUAUCAAC